GACGAACGCUGGCGGCGUGCUUAACACAUGCAAGUCGAACGGGAAGGCCCUGCUUUUGUGGGGUGCUCGAGUGGCGAACGGGUGAGUAACACGUGAGUAACCUGCCCUUGACUUUGGGAUAACUUCAGGAAACUGGGGCUAAUACCGGAUAGGAGCUCCUGCUGCAUGGUGGGGGUUGGAAAGUUUCGGCGGUUGGGGAUGGACUCGCGGCUUAUCAGCUUGUUGGUGGGGUAGUGGCUUACCAAGGCUUUGACGGGUAGCCGGCCUGAGAGGGUGACCGGCCACAUUGGGACUGAGAUACGGCCCAGACUCCUACGGGAGGCAGCAGUGGGGAAUAUUGCACAAUGGGCGGAAGCCUGAUGCAGCAACGCCGCGUGCGGGAUGACGGCCUUCGGGUUGUAAACCGCUUUCGCCUGUGACGAAGCGUGAGUGACGGUAAUGGGUUAAGAGGCACCGGCUAACUACGUG
rnacentral:rRNA from 1 species